rnacentral:rRNA from 1 species
UACAGAGGGCUCAAGCGUUGUUCGGAUUCAUUGGGCGUAAAGGGUGCGUAGGUGGCGCCAUAAGUCGGGUGUGAAAUUUCGGAGCUUAACUCCGAAACUGCAUUCGAUACUGUGGUGCUUGAGGACUGGAGAGGAGACUGGAAUUCAUGGUGUAGCAGUGAAAUGCGUAGAGAUCAUGAGGAAGACCAGUGGCGAAGGCGGGUCUCUGGACAGUUCCUGACACUGAGGCACGAAGGCUAGGGGAGCAAACGGG